rnacentral:rRNA from 1 species
AGAGUUUGAUCAUGGCUCAGAUUGAACGCUGGCGGUAUGCUUAACACAUGCAAGUCGAACGGAAACGAUACUAGCUUGCUAGUAGGCGUCGAGUGGCGGACGGGUGAGUAACGCGUAGGAAUCUGCCUGAUAGUGGGGGAUAGCCCGAAGAAAUUCGGAUUAAUACCGCAUAAUCUAUUCGUAGUAAAGUGGGGGACUUUCGAGCCUCACGCUAUCAGAUGAGCCUGCGUAAGAUUAGCUUGUUGGUGGGGUAAAAGCCCACCAAGGCGACGAUCUUUAGCUGGUCUGAGAGGAUGAUCAGCCACAUCGGGACUGAGACACGGCCCGAACUCCUNCNNCAGCCACCANUGGGGAAUAUUGGACAAUGGGGGCAACCCUGAUCCAGCAAUACCGCGUGUGUGAAGAAG